rnacentral:tRNA from 1 species
GGGGAUUUGGCUCAGUGGUAGAGCGCUUGCCUCGCAAGCACAAGGCCCUGGGUUCGGUCCCCAGCUCCG